CUACCCCACAACUUGGCUUUCUCCUCCCUGACACAGAAACCUAGACCUACUCUGCCCUGUGAGAUGCAGACAUGGUACCCCUGCUCCUGCUGUCUCUGCUGUGGGGAGGGUCCUUGCAGGAGGAGGAAGGCUAUGAGCUUGGAGUGCAGCAUUUGGUGAAGGUGCAGGAGGGUCUGUGUGUCCACGUGCCCUGCUCCUUUUCCUACCCAUGGAGGUCAUGGUAUUCCUCUGGCGAACUCUACACCUACUUGUACUGGCGUGGGGAGAAGACACGCAACUUUAAUCUUGUGGCUACAAACAACCCAAAUAAAGCAGUGAAGAGGGAGACCAAGGACCGAUUCCUCCUCGGGGACCCCAGGACCAACAACUGUUCCCUGAGCGUCAGAGACGCCAGGAAGAGUGAUGCAGGAACUUAUGUCUUCCAAGUGGAGAGAGGAAAUGUACCUACUUACAAAGAUAAGAGGUUGAACUUGCAGGUGACAGAUCCCCAACCUCUGGGACCCAAGCACCCCUCUCUCUUCUCCUCAGACCUGACACAGAAGCCAGACAUCCUCAUUCAGGAGCAUCUGCAGUCUGGCCGCCCCACACAGCUGACCUGCAGCCUGCCAGGGGCCUGUGGAGGGGGAAGACCUCUCACCUUCUCCUGGGCAGGAGCUGCUGUUGACUCUCUGAACCACCAGAACCUCCACUCCUCAGUGCUCACCUUCACCCCAAGGCCCCAGGACCAUGGGACCAACCUCACCUGUCAGGUGAAAUUGCAAAGAUCAAGGGUGACUACACAGAGAACCAUCUGGCUUAACGUCUUCUAUGCCCCAUGGAACCUCACCAUAGGCGUGUUCUUCAGAAAUGUGACAGCUCUCAAGAUAGUACAAGACACAUCCAUUCCCAUUCUGGAGGGCGAGACUCUGCAGCUGCUCUGUGUGGCUGACAGCAACCCCCCUGCACAGCUGAGCUGGUUCCGGGGGCCUCCAGCCCUGAACACCACCCUGAUCUCCAGUACCUCGAUCCUGGAGCUGCCUCGUGUGGGGACUGGAGAAGGAAAGUUCACCUGCCAAGCUUGGCACCCGCUGGGCUCCCAAAGUAUCUCUCUCAGCCUCUCAGUGGUCUACCCCCCACGGCUGCUGGGACCCUCUUGCUCCUGGGAGGAUGGGGAUCUGCACUGCAGCUGCUCCUCCCAAGCCCAGCCUGCACCCUCACUGCGCUGGUGGCUGGGGGCAGGGCUGCUGGAGAACCCCAGCAACACCUCCUACACAGUCACCUCCAGCUCAGAGGGGCCCUGGGCCAACAGCUCCCUGAGCCUCCCUGCGGGGCUCAGCGCUGGCCUCAGACUCAGCUGUGAGGCGGAGAAUGUCCACGGGGCCCAGAGGGCCAGUGUCCUGCUGCUGCCAGGGAAGUUGGUAUCUGUUUCAAGAGUGGUUCCUGCAGCUUUUGGAGGUGCUGGUGUCAUGGCCCUACUCUUCCUAUGCUUGUGUCUCAUCUUCUUUUGCAUAGUGAAAAACCACAGGAGGCGAGCAGCUGGGAGGCGAAAGGUGGCAAAUGAUGAAGACCCUGUCAUGGAUACAGCCGCCUGGGGUUCCCAGCAAAACCCCAGGAUGAAUGGGCCCUCAGACCAGCAGUCACCCCCAGGAGACAUCUCUGCAUGGAGAGAGGAGCAGGAUACCCAGUACAUCAACCUCAGGUUUCACGGGAGGAAGCUAUGGGAGCCUCAGGACAAGGGGGCCACCAGCACCUGUGUGUACUCAGAGAUCAAGAAGACAAGCCAAUGACGUCUUGCUCAGAGCUUAGUCCUGGCCAGAGGUAUCACAGCCUCUGAGGGAAAGAAGUCAGGGACUAAUUGAUGAAACAUGAGGAGAUCUCGUGCAACAUUAACAUUAACCACUGUAAGGCAUCCACAGGCAGAGCAGAAAGAAGAAAGGUGACGGGAUUGGAGAGACUUGGACUCAAGUGCAGACUUCAGCAUUUGCUAAGGCAUUGUCUUCAACUCCUCCUGUGUGCCAGUCCCUUCCCCAUCCCAUGUACGGCCCCACUGGGAUUUUUCCAACAGCCUGUGGACUGUAAACCAGAACUGACCAGGUAUUUCAUCACCAAAAAUGAUUUUUUUUAUUAUAAAAAAAAGAUUUUACUUAUUUUUAUUUUUAUUUUUUUAAAACUUUUUAAUUGAUUAUGCCAUUACAUUUAUUCUAUUCCCCGCUCCGUUCCCCUCCACCCUGCAUACCCCUCCCCCACCAUUUCCCCCUUUAGUUCAGGAACACGUGUCUCAAAUUCUUUAGAUUCUGUAUUUCCCCUACUAUUCUUACCCUCCCCCCUAUCUAUUUUUUAUCUACUGUCUAUGCUACUUAUUUUCUGUACCUUCUCCCCCCUUCUCCUCCUCCCACUCCCCUGUUCCUAACCCUCCAUGUGAUCUUCAUUUCUAUGGUUCUGCUCCUGAUCUAGCUGUCCUCUUAGUUUGCUUUUCUUUUAGGUGUGGUUGUUACUAACUGUGAGUUUGCUGUCCUUUCACUGUUCAUCUUUUUUAUCUUCUUUUUCUUAGGUAAGUCCCUUUAACAUUUCAUAUAAUAAGGGCUUGAUGAUGAUGAACUCCUUGAAUUUGGUCUUAUCUGAGAAGCACUUUAUCUGUCCUUCCUUUCUAAAUGAAAACUUUGCUGGAUAGAGCAAUCUUGGUUGUAGGUCUUUGGUUUUUAUGACUUGGAAUACCUCUUUCCAGCCCCUUCUUGCCUGUAAGGUCUCUUUUGAGAAAUCAGCUGACAGUCUGAUGGGAACUCCUUUGUAGGUGACUGUCCCCUUAGCUCUUGCUGCUUCUAGGAUCCUCUCCUUCAUUUUAAUCUUGGUUAAUGUAAUGAUGAUGUGCCUUGGUAUGUUUCUUCUUGGGUCCAACUUCUUUGGGACUCUCUGAGCUUCCUGGAUUUCCUGGAAGUCUAUUUCCUCUGCCAGAAUGGGGAACUUCUCUCUUUUUUUUAAAAUAUUUUUAUUUAUUUAUUUAUUAUUUAUUUUUAGAGAGAGGGGAAGGGAAGGAGAAGAGUGGGAGAGAAACAUCAAUGUGUGGUUGCCUCUCCUGAGUCCCCUGCUGGGAACUGGCCUGCAACCCAGGCACGCGCCCUGACUGGGAAUCGAACCUCGAUACUCUGGUUUGCAGGACCGCGCUCAAUCCACCGAGCUACGCCAGCCAGGGCGGAACUUCUCUUUUAUUAUUUGUUCAAAUAAGGUUUCCACUCGUGACUCUUCCCCUUCUGGUACCCCUAUAAUUCGGAUGUUGGAGCAUUUAAAGAUGUCCUGGAGGUUCCUAAGCUUCUCCUCAUUUUUUUGAAUUCUUGUUUCUUCAUUCUUUUCUGUUUGAUAAUUUUUUUCUUCCUUCUGGUCCACUCCAUUGAUUUGAGUCCCAAUCUCCUUUUCAUUACUACUGGUUUCCUUUGUAUUACCAUUCAUUUCAAUUAGUUUAGCUUCCAUAUGUUCCUCUAAUUUGUGACUAAAAUCAACCAGUUCUGUGAGGAUCCUGAUAACCAGUGUUUUGAACUGUGCAUCUGAAAGUUUGGCUAUUUCUUCAUCGUUUAGAUUGAUCGUCUCUGGGGCUCUGAGUUGUUCUUGAGCCAUUUUUGGUCUGUUCGCGUCGUCAAGUAAGCGGAGCGAAGCUUUAGUUGUUUACCAGGACGGGGCCACCCAGGUCGCUGGUUUGUGACGCUAUGUGUGGGGGCAUGGUCAGAGAGGGAGCAAUGGUGGUCCUCUCCACUAGCCCAGUCUGUCCAGUCCCACCACUCGCCCGGGGCCUGUUUAUCCGAUCGGAAUUGUGUGAGCCUGCUGCCCCGUGCCUGCUCGCCUCUUCACUGGUUUAUCUGCACGCAGAUGCACGACCGACCGCAGACAGCCAGCCGCGCCUCUUCCCUGUGUGCUCCCAAGCUAGCCCGUGAUCGGCGCCUUUGCCUGCUUGCGCACCACCCGUUCAGGGAUUUUUUUUGCCAACCUGCUCCGCUGCUGGCUUCGCUCCUCUUACCAGUUUAGCUGAGCAUUUUGUUGUCUUUGGACUCCGUAUUGUCAAUUUUCUGUGUGGCUUGGUUGUUUAUUGUUGUUAAAAAUAGUCGUUCUUAGAUUUGGUUGUGCACGGAAGCAAGGUGGUUCCACCUACACCUUCAUCUUGGCGGAAGUCCCAAAAAUGAUUUUUUUCAGAGACAAAGAAAUGGCUGCAAUGCAGCUGGUACAGCCACAGCGAGCCAUGUGCACACCCUGGGCAGGGAAGGAGCGGGCAUGAAGCCCUUGUCACAGAGCAGAAGCAGAAGUUUGGGGGAGUGACUUUUAUGACCAUAGAGCUCUGCUUUGACACUAGAGUGCUUCUGUAGGGCGGCCAGUGCCACGUAGGGUGUGACAGCGCCACCCACAGGCUUCCUCAUUCCUGGCUAGGUUAGUUCUCCAAGGUAAAACCAGGUGUGGUAGAGAGCUGACCCCACCUCUGUCCUUUACACACCCAUUUCUGAUUCCCUUGCCUUGGACAAUACAUCCCAAAACUUUCCCCCUAGCAUUCACUACCUCACCCAACAUUUCCCCAUGCCCUUUGUUCCUUAGACAUUCUAUGGUGUUUCCUACAAAAGUCUUAGCUAAUUGAGAUCCCCCUCCUGGAGGCCAUGCCCCCUUGCUUCACUCUGGCGCACUCCACCUGUCCUUCAAACCUGAGUUCUUGCACAGAUUUGCAUGGAGAGAGUGAAGUGAAGAAAGAGCUCAUAGUCUUUCUUCUCUAUAUAGUUGAUCUCAUUUAAUUUUUUCAGAGGAAAAAUUUAAAACAAAAACAGCCAGAAUUUUAUGGGCAGCACCAGAGUGCACGUGCCUAACAAGAAUCUCUUUGGUUGUGAGGACAGUAGUCUCCCUUAUGUGUGGGGGAGAUGUUUCAAGACCCCCAGUUCAUGCCUGAAAUUACAGUUAGUACCGAAUCUUAUAUAUAUUAUGAUUUUUCUAUACACACUUAUGAUAAAGUUUAAUUGGUAAAUUAGGCACAAGAAGAGAUCAACAAGAGUAACUAAUAAAACAGAAGAAUUAUAACAAUAUACUCUGAUGAAAUUUAUGUAAAUGUAUUCUCUCCAUCUCUUGAAAUAUCUUCUUUUUGUGUACUCACCCUUCUUCCUGUGUUAAUGUGAGAAGACACGAUGCCCUUGUGACAAGAUACAGGAGGUGUAUGACAUAGGUGAGACAAAGCAUGAGACUACUAUAACGGUGACAUGAACACAAGCAUGUGAUACCAUGACAGUCGAUCUGAUACCUCAAUGUAUCAGGUAUUACUUAAUACCUAGAUGUAUCCAAAUAGCUUUGUUUUCUUUACACUUUUCAUAGCCUAUACCUGUGGCUAUUGCCUUUCUAGACUAUGACCUGAUGCUACUGCAUUGGGUGUGAUGUUUGCUGAAGACACCCUCUAUCUUGUUAGGGAAAUUGUCCUUCAUUCCUAGCUGGCUGUGAGUUUUACCACGAAAGCACUUCAAAUCACCCACUGCUCAUUGUUUUAUCUUUUGAGAGUUAAUCAGUCAAAAACAGGUGAGGAACACAGAAGCCCCACUAUGGAUUUCAGCAGCAGGAAUUCAAUGUGAGGAAUUUGCUAUGCCGAUGUUGAAGCACACAUGGAGCGGAAGUGGAACUGUACCUGGAAGGCUUGGACCUUCUAAUCUAAUCUAGGUACCCAGCCUAAAUGUUCUUCAUUCAUAUAUAUACCCAUAUCUAUGAUAUAAUUGACAUAUAACUAUGACAUACACACACAGUGAAGUGCUCACCACAGUAUGUCUUGUUAAAUAUCCAUCGCCACAUAGUUACACAUUUUUUUGUAAUGAGAAUUUUAACAUUUUUUUCUCUUAGCAAUGUGCUUUCUUAGCAAUUUUUAAAAUAUAUAACAUGGUAUUAUUAACUAUAUUAUUACAGUUAAUUCCCGCUAUUAUUAACUAUAGUCACCAUGCUGUACAUUACACCCUCAUUAUUUAAUUAUCUUAUAACUAUAAGUUUGUACCUUUGACCAUCCUCAUCCCUUUUGCCCUGCCCCGCCUCAGCCUCUGGCCUCUACCAAUCUGUUGUAUCUAUGAGUUUGAAUUUAAAAAAUGUUUUUAUGUAUAAUUGAAGUUACAUGGUAUUUGUCUUUCUCUGUCUGAUACUUCACUUAGCAUAAUGCCUUCAUGAUCCAUCCAUGUUGUCAGAAAGGCAGGAUCUCCUACUUUUUUUUGGCAGACUAGUAUUCCACUUAUAUAGACCUCAUUUUCUUUAUCCAUUCAUUUAUAAUGGACACUUAGAUUGCUUCUACAUCUUGGCUAUUGUAAAUGAUUCUGUAGUGAACAUAGGGGUGCAUAUGUUAAUGUUUUCAUUUCUUUCAGAUAAAUGCACACAAGUGGAAUUGCUGGAUGUUAUGGAAGCUCUGUUUUUAAUUUUUGAGAAACUGACAUAAUGAUUUACAUAGCAGCUGCCCCAAUUCACAUUUUCAGCUACAGUGCAAGAGGGUUCCCCUUUAGAACAUUCUUGCCAACACUUACUAUUUCUUGAGAUUUUCUAGACUGCUUGGGGAUGUGAAUUGUGGGAAGAACAACCACAGAAAUCUUGCUUCCUUUAGUCCUUUGCUUGUACAAGACAGUCUUUGCGAUAUGUGAGGAGUCUGGGGUGGGUGGGGAAGUAGAACUGGUUACCUCUGCUUCACAUGUUCCCAAUGGCAGGGGCAGAUCCAGUUAUGUGGAGCCUGAUGUUUAUACUAAUGAUGAGAUCACUGCUUCAAGACAAAAAGCAACAUGUGGCACCUAUGAAUUUUUCUGAAAUGAGAAAACACAUAAUAUCAGUUGAGAAAUGCUAAAAAGCCAAAACAUAAGCCAAUUGAAAAAUUAUAGAGUAUUACCAUUAGUAGUGUGGUAUUCCUCUCUGGCAUACCUGCCUGAAACAUUUUUUGUUCAAACUCUUUGAUUGCCUAUUUAUAGGAAAAUAAUUCUGUCAUACAGUAAUCAAUAUUAAUAUUAGAUUAAUACACAUUAUUAGUUGUUAUAAUAAUAUUAUAUUUAUGUAACAUAGUAAACAGAAAGGGAAUUCAGUAUUUCCCUUGGCACCAAUGAUUGGCAUUUCUUUUUCUUCUAUGUAGUUUAAGAAAGUUUUUAAAUCACACAAUUUGUUACUGGGAUGUGUGAACUGUUACAGAUCAUUACCGGGUUUGGGAAAAAGUUUACCAAGUUUUUUCUUUUAUUUAAGAGCAAUAGGAUUACAGGUUAUUUCCACACAUCACUGGAGCCCUUGUGGGGCUUUGAAGAGAGACUGAGAACAUGAGGGGCUCUGAGGAUGGGGCUUCCUCAGCUUUAAGGUAGCAAAUUUGCUGCUGUGCUGUGGGCCAGCCUUUGGGGUCUCCACUGAAUGGAGCGAGAUCUCCCAUCACACACCCCACUUUGAGGAGACCUGUGCACUGUCAUUGUCCCACAGACCCUCAGACCCUAGAAGACCAUGACUUGUGCAUCCCAUGUCCCCACAGAGCAAAGAGCUUAAUGCCCAGCUUUCCCCUGAGUUCCACUCUCCACUGGAGUUGGGUCUAAAUUCCUUCCUCUCCUAUCAGCACUUGGUGGUGCAAAGGAAAUUUAAAAGUAUCCUCUUUUAGAAGGUUCAGUGGUUUUAGCUGGAGGUGGGUCCCCUGAGCCACCAUGACCAGCUCUGCCCAUGGUGACCCCCUGAGUGACCCUCCUCUUGACUUAAACAUCAUCUGCAAGAUGAUCCCUUCCACAUUCACAUUUGGGCAAGCCUCUCAACCUCUGGGGGCCUGGGUAUAUCCACUUGGAGGAUAUGGUAAAGGGCUGAAGUUCACAGGAUGAUUUCUCAGCUUCUACCCCACCCCCAUGGCCUGUGGAGCCAAAGUUCCCCUUUCAGGCCAGGUGGCAGCUCUUUCACCCAUGGCUUCCUCUCAGGAUGUCCUCAGCUUCACCCCACAGCUCUGCAUUUCUCUGCCUGACACAGGAGCAUAAAUCCUCUCUGCCCUGUUAGAUGCAGACAUCAUGCCCCUGUAGCUGGAGCUUGAACCUGACCCUGGGGUCACCAUGGAGUGGAGGGGGGAUCAGAGUGUGAAUGUACUCAAGAUUGUGCAAAUCACAUCCCUUCCCACCCUGGAGGUCAAGGCUCUGUGCCUGCUCUGCAUGGCUGAAAGCAACACCCCCACAGUGCUGAGCUGAUUCUGGAGUUCGCCAGUCCAGAAUGUCUCCCCCUGCCCACCCCCAAUCUCCAGCACCACAAUCCUGGAGCUGCCUUGUGUGGAGACUGCAGAAGAGGGACAGUACACCUGCCAGGAUCAGCACCCACCAGGUUCCAAACAUGUUUCCUUCAGCCUCUUUGUGCAGAGAUGUCCCCCUUUCCUGCUGGUGUGUGACUCAGGAGCAGCAGGGCUCCUGGCCUCUCAUACUCACUCUGAUCAGAGGGAGCCUCAUGGAACCUAAUUUCCUCCUCACCUAUGGCCUCACCUAGCUCUACUAUUCCAGGUGAGCAGCUGUCUCUCCACAGGGAAUGUCAGUGAUUGGCCCCAAGUUCCAGGUGGGACUGAGCAGACCCAUCUGCCUGGAGUUAAAGUUCAAGGGACCAAGUCCCUAAGCUGAGACCUGUGUUGGGCCUUCAGGUGUGGAGGACCCCAGAGAACAAAGCCGAGGUCCUGACUGACUCUCCCUUCUUGUGAAGAUAGCACUGAGGUGAUACCCUUGGGAUUUUAAUUUGUGUGAUUGAGUGACAAUGAGGAGAGUCAACACCAAUGAAAUAAGGUUUUUAUUCCUUUCACUUUCUGAGAGGAGGUCCCACCAGGCCAGGCAGGGCCCCAGGAGAAGCACCAGAUUCCCUCAGGGAGCAGAUGGAAGUGGGGAGCAGACUAGCCAGAAUCUUUAUUGGGGUUUCCAUGGGAAAUGCAAGGCCGGGCAGGGUGAACAGUUGAGGAUCAGCUGUUAUGAAUAAAUGAGGGGUUUUUUCUU